AAGCCACCCCUCUUGCCCCCCGGUGUCGUGGCCUUCCAGGUAACGGUGUGAGUAGUGCUGAGGUGGGGCUGAGAACAUCCCGCCUGGGACACAACGUGCGCGAGGCUCUGCCCGCGCCACCGGCGAGGUUUGUAUCGUUGGGCUGAGCAAGCUCUUCACCGGCGAGGUUUGUCUCGUUGGGCUGAGCAAGCUCUUCACCAGCGAGGUUUGUCUCGUUGGGCUGAGCAAGCUCUUCACCGGCGAGGUUUGUAUCGUUGGGCUGAGCAAGCUCUUCACCGGUGAGGUUUGUAUCAUUGGAAUGAGCAAGCUCUUCCCGGUUGCUUCUUGCUGGUUGGGCUGGUGUGACCAGCUGUGCCCAUUUCCCCCUUCCUGCUCCCUAAAUCUCCGAACUUUCCCCCUCCAAGCUUAUAAGCUGGACUGGGGCCUGGGCGGUACAUAAGGCUGGUGUGCGAGUGGGACAAAUGCUCUGGAUGACCCAUAGGUGAAGCUAUCAAAUGCCCUCCGAGACGUGGCUGCCCCCUCCAGAGGUAACACCGCCGCUCUGGGGAGGCCUCAAAGUGCUUGUAAAUCGUAGCUUUCAUGGGUGGCAUCGAGUCUUCAUAAAACUCUCAAAGUUACUGUCUGCAACAUGCAGGGAGAAUUCAGUGCGUAUUUUCCUAAACCCCCUCAAAAAUGAGCAGGUUGGGGAGAAGCAGCCUUGCCAGAGCCUYCUGUGAAACCACCCAUGUUGACUAGAUGUGCGUGUAAGUGCAAACACCGACACCCUGCUCCUUUUAAGUUCUGUCAUUUUGGUGUGGUUAACUAGAAGCCAACAGAAUCGAGGCCGAAGCAGCUUUUCAAGAAACGGUUUCUUCGUUUGGAUGCAAUAUUUUCAGGGAAGCGACACUGCUAAGAGUUAAGCACCCCUUCCUACACAAAGUUAAUGCUUCUUAGAAAGGAUUAAGCCWGGUCCUUGAACAAGAGCGAUGCUUCCUUUCUUCAGGGGAAAUUACCUUUCUCAUAGUGAAGCUUUUCAAGUGCCAUAUUUGGUUCAUAUCUUCUUUUAUUUCGUAUAAUCUAUAAUUUUUCCUCUCUUCUUUUUCCCCCAGAGGAGGCAGCCAUUGCAUUCUUUUGAACACACUAUGUAAACAGUAGUUUUUACAGUGAAAAAAGAUUGAGCUGGCCUUUCCAGUAAAUUUUCAGUAAAAGCUGAAAAUUUGAAUACAAAAGCACUUUAAAACCUGCAUUUGGUUAAAAAACCUGUAUUGUCCAUUCAGACUGUGAGAGAAAAACAUGAUUUCUGUCAUAAUUUCAAGAAUUUUAGUGGUAUGCAUUAAAGCUUGAAGUUACAUUUGAAAUAUAAAUUUAAAUAUGAAGUUGCAUUUUAAAUGUCAAAUAAUGAAUUACUGUCAAGUAACAACUGUCUUUACCCCUGACUUUAGAAAUACUUCUAACACUUGUCAUCUAACCAAAGAGUUUCACAAUAGGGUUUUAUUUUUAAAACCYUAAUUCCUAUGAGAAGAGCUGUACUUACAUAUGUACUGAGUCUGAGUUUCAGUGCUUAGUGUCUGUCUUCACCACUUGGUCUUUUGUUAAGUGCAUGCAUAAAUUCUGCAUAAAACUGAAAAUAAUUUGCAUUGCCAUGAGAUUUUUUUUUCUUUUUUAAUACUAGCAGGAUUGUUUAUUGAUGUGAUUACAUUGAAAAUGCACAUACGAAAGCACCGGGUAUCAUGCAGUUGUAGAUAGCUGUAAAAUGGACUAUUUUUAAAAGGAGAGAAAUGUAUGCCUGUCAAAUCAGAUGAGCAAUAAGAUAGCCAUGGGAGGCCAGUACACCUGAAGAACAAGGACUGAAAGCUGUGUGUCCUAUGCCUUACUCUGACAUGAUUCCUUUGUGCUUAGCUUAUUUAUACCGGAGUGGAAGGAUUCUGAUCGCAGCUACUGGGGCUUURCAGUGUCCAUCCUCAAGGAUAAUGACAGUCUUUUUCUAAUUUCUGUUAAGUAAUUCUCAAGUAUGUUUUUUAAAAUUUUGUAUAGAAUCAGUUUUCGGUAAAGUGCUUAAAUUCACUCUAGAUGGCUUCCUUUUUUWAAGGAUCUUGUACUUCGGCUUACUAAACCCAUCAGAGGAGCUAUGAAUAGAGGCAGUUUUAAAUUGAAAUUGUCAUUUAGUGUACAUAUAUACAGCAUAUAAACAUUUUACAUGAAUCAUUUAGUUUUUUAAUUGUUUUAGUGCUACAGGAUUUCAUAAUACAGCUAGCUGAACAUUUGCAUUUUACACUAUGUACAUAAUAUGGUCAUGUUUUAUUGGUCUCCUGUACCUGUUUCUAUGGAAGAUCUGAACACGAGUAUCAGCAUAACUGUGGAACUGAAAUGGAUUACUUAUUUGCUUGAAUGUGAAUCAUAACCUAACCUCCAGAUGGCUAAAUGCAUCUCUAAAAUGAGGGUUGCCUGUAUUUUGAUCAGUGAAUGCCUGUCUGUUUGCUAGCAGGUGACUCAGAAACUCUUGUGACCUUUUACAGUAAAAAUGGAUGUAAUAAAAGCAUAAUCUGAUGAUUUUUCAUCUCCAUGUUUGUGCUAAAAACUUUAGGCACUGGGGUCCUUCAUUUUCCAAUCACUCAUUACGAUCCAGGCUUAAAGCAGUAGUGCCAUAAGUUUAAUAGCCAUUUGAUGCUUUACCAGGGAAGAUUAACACAAAUCAAUAAUUUCUGUCAAAUGUGUAAACUG